rnacentral:rRNA from 1 species
UACAGAGGUCUCAAGCGUUGUUCGGAUUUAUUGGGCGUAAAGGGUGCGUAGGCUGCGAAGUUAGUUGGAUGUGAAACGCUGUGGCUCAACCACGGCACUGCAUUCAAUACUGCUCCGCUCGAGCACUAGCGAGGAGGCUGGAAUUUACGGUGUAGCAGUGAAAUGCGUAGAUAUCGUAAGGAACACCAGUGGCGAAAGCGAGCCUCUAGAUAGUAUGCUGACGCUGAGGCACGAAGGCCAGGGGAGCAAACGGG